UAUUGCGAUGGCGGCUGUUUUGAUAUGAGAACAAGUUCGGGCUCAUCAUUUUAUUAUAAUAUCGUGUAUUUUAUGCUACUGCAGAAUCCAUGGUAAAAUAAUUCCAACAAUUUAAUACAUGAACCCAGUUAGCCUCAACAAGGGCUUUUGUCAUGUCCUACAUCUCCUGUAUAGAAGCAAAUCGUAAUUCAAUUAUUCAUCACUGGUGGUCGAUAUCAAAACAAAGGUGUUUGCAAUUUGACACCUACACUCAACAUAGUUUAGUCAAAGUCUGUCGCUGAUUUCUGGGCAGGCCUUUAUUUUUUGGUAAUUAAGGCAUUUCGAUUCCAUUUUGUCCAUUAAUUAUUUACGAUAUGAAACAAUUUGGACGUUGUGUCGCCCGUUUGUGGCAAAUUGCCUCCAAACUUGAACGUGAUUGAACAUGUCAAAGAGCUCCUUACUGGUAGAGGAUUCCUAUGAACGACGUGACCUAGAAACACCGGGUUAACGGAUUUCUGUUUUACUUCACUAAAAUAUUCAGGAAAUGUAGCCAAAAUAGUAUCAAAAUGUGACGUUUUGUGAUUAGAUAUAGGAUUACUAUUACUGAUUUUGAAUUGGUGAGGAAUGAGGAAAUGUUCACAAGAAAAUUGAGGCUUAGCCUAGUGUAGGGUGAAGAACUUCAAACUUAAAAAUGGAUGACAGAGUUCAUCAAUUAACAGACAACUUACAGGGUACGACUCGGAACCUGCGGUCGUUGGAUCGUAUGCUUGGUACCUACAGAGAUGUAGGUCGGGAACAGAGAGGCGCCGUAGACAGGUUACGUGAUGACUUAAGGACAACACAGGAUGAACUCCAGCGAGAGAGGGUGAGGAGCCCGCUACACCACCGGGAUUAUGGGAGUGAUAGCGAGUAUGAAAUAUCACCGAUGGCAAAUAGACGACGGCGAAAGCGCCGGUCGACUGUAAGAUUUGCAGAUGAUAUGAACAGAGAGUUACAUGGACUACACAGAUCUUUUCGAGAUUUAUCUAACGACCAUUUUGAUCUUGAGACCAGCCUCAACAGGGAAACAGAGAGACGGGACAGAAACGACGGGGAGUCUAAGAGGACGAUGAGGGAGAUAUCGGACAACUUGAAACGUCUGCCUCACUCUGACCCUGUGGCCAUGCGUGUAGAGGAGAGACUCGCAGCCAUACAGAACGAGCUGCGGUCAGAAAGACAGUCGCUAAACAGAUAUGACGAACUGGUCAACCUCUCCACAGACCUUCGUCAGGCACUGAACACACAUCAGCAUUUACUGACGCAGCCCCAGCGACCAGCCAUGGACGACCGACUGCAGGCUCAGUAUAUACAGGCUGAGUCACAGAAAAACAGGAUUGAGUCAGAAUUAGACGCUGUUAAGAGGAAGCUGGACCAGACAGCAGGUGGCAAGGCAGCUCUAGAACAGCAGGUUGGUGACUUGCGGGCACAGCUGAACCGAAUGGAACAGGAUCGUGCUCGAAUGAAGAACCACCUGGAGGAGAGCCGCUAUGAGGAGGAAGUCCGGGACCGUCGCAAAAAACAGUCCUUGGAAGAGGACCGUGACCGAGUGCGUAGGUCCCUGGAGAAGGAGGUAGUGGACCUACGCGGACAGCUAUCCAGGUCGAUGGGUGCUCAUGGUGAGGUUGAUGAGUUACGUAGAGGGAUUGAUCGCAGUGAGCGGCAACGAGCCCAACUCUCGGACCACAUAGAGACAAUAACAAGAGACCUGGAGAACAGAGAGAAACAGACAGCCAAGCUUAUCACGCAGCUGAAGGAGACUUCAGAUAAGUUUGAGGAAGCAGACCGCCACAAGAGCCAGCUGAUGGCCCAGUAUGAGGACACACUAGGGCGUCUAAAAGAGUGCAGUAAAGAGCUUGAGAAAACUGUGACUGAGCUGCGGGGUACACAGGGUACUUUGUCCGAGGCAGAGAGAAAGAGAGAUGAGUUCAAGGGUCGUGCACAGGAAACCGUCAGACAAUGGAAGAUGAAGACAAAACAGCUUGAGAGAGAGGUUGACCGUCACAAACACGGAACCAACACGUUGAUGCAGAGGAAUGAACAGCUGGUGAAAGAGUUAGAGGGCAUGAGGCACCAACUACACCACCAGGGAGUGCAGAUGGACAACCUCAAACGUGAGCUGGGUGACGCCUUGGCGGUGAGAGCAGCCCAGGAUGAACAGAUCCGUCUGAAGGAUGUGGAGAUCAAUGAACUAAAGUCUGUGCGUAUGGACCUGGACCAUGAACUCCGAGACUCUCGUUCUGUCUGUGAUAGAAUGGAGAAUGAACUAAAUGCAGCCCAGACACGUGUAUCAACUCUAUCUGAGGAGAAGAACAGACUGGAGGAUAAACUGUCCUCUGUUGAAGCAGCACACCUUCUGUCACAGGACCAAGCUAAUCAACUACAGCAAGAACUUAAAGAAUUAAGCUCGGUGAAGGCAGAGUUUGCCUCUCAGUUGUCCCUGGCCAAUGGUAAAAUCCAUGACCUGAGACACAACUUUGUUGAGCUACAACACCGAGAGAAGGCGGCUAGAGAGGAGUUGAAAAUCUACCAGAGACAACUGGCAGAGGAACGAGAAUCGCACCACAAUACAGUUGAAAAUCUCAAACAAGAACUUAAUGAGGUCAAGGUGCGGGAAGCUCAUGUGAUGCAGGACAUACAGAGAAAGAUGAAGAGAGGACACGCAGAGUAUGAGGCAACCAUACAGGCUCUUAAGAUGGAAUUAGGAGAAGAGAAAUCCUCCUCCAAAAUAUCUAAACGUAAUGAAGAGAAGAUGCGUCAGGAUGUGGAGAGACUCACACACGAAGUAGAGAGAUCUGAAGAGGAGAGCUCCAACCUCUUAAGGAGACUUGAGCAUGCUCAUCAAGAAUUUCAGACCCAGACUCAAAUGGCAGAGAGUGAUAUGUCAAGGGUAAAGAAAUAUGAAGAUGAACUAUUUGCUCUGAAGAGUGAGCUGAAGAAGUCUAGGACUGACCAUGAUGGCCUCGUAUAUGAAAUGGUGACAGAGGUUGACACACUGAUGGAGCUAGUCGCUACAGGUUCCAUGGAGAAACGUCAGACAGUGACUGCUGUGAAGGGAGCUCCUAAUGGUCCAAGUGCCACCGUAGUUGAUAUCAAAAGUAAGAUGAAAUGGCUGCGUCGAGAGAUAAGGGACAGGAUCAAGUAUGAACAGAAGUUACGCAAAGACCUGCGAGAGGCUUUAACCUGUAACGACCAUGACCGCCAGUUCCUUCUUGCAGAACUUGCCAAAAGAGAAGAUGUCCUUGAUGAAUUGUCCAGUGCCAAGCAAGGGAGGAUCCUACAAAUGCCAUACCUUGGCAAGCUGUUACCUGAGCUGGCCUACAGAGAUCUGGAUAACGUGCAAGCCGUAGAGAAAUUACAGGAACACAUCCUUGAUUUGACAGAUGAAUUAGAAUUGAGGAAAAUACGAGAGGAAGAGAUCAUACGAGCCCAGGAAUCUGACAAACAACACAUCAUUGAAGAUUUACACGAACUCAGGACUGUACAAGAGGAGAAGGCUAGGAUAGAGGAUCGAUAUCUGCGUCUGUCUGAGACAAUGAGAGCCCUACAAGAUGAGAUAAAAUCUGCAAACAUAGGGGGAAACAAGGUGACAGAGUUUGAGCGUGAGAGGAAUGUUGGAAAUCUGCGAAAGUCUACAACGCCAAGGAAGAAGAACCAGAGAGUCCGGAUACAUGAGAGUUCGAAGCGUCCAAUCACUCCCCCGUCAAAGCUAAAGAAGGGCCAAACUCCUCCCAUGUCAUUGUCCGAGGAAGAAUUCAAAAGACGUUAUAUGUCUGAAAAAGACUGCUAGCAUUAUUAAACUUAAUACUAUAUCUCCUCAAACAAUGUAUUCUGUGAAACAGGACUGACCAGGGUUUUAUAGAAAUUGAACUGUUGAUUACUUUGUGGGCCAGAAGUACCGGUAAUCACCAAGUACCUCCACAAACAGCUUAUGGUCAAAGAUAGAUUACUUUGCCUUUGAGGACUUCAGGCCCACAUGAUUAAAAAUAAUUUCUUUCUAAUGUUGGUAUUGGGGCUUGUUAAGGUGUUCUAUUAUGUCUUGUACAGAUGUGUUUGAUGCCCUGUACAGAUGCGUUUGAUGCCCUGUACAGAUGUGUUUGAUGCCCGGUACAGAUGUGUUUGAUGCCCUGUACAGAUGUGUUUUAAGCCCUGUACAGAUGGGUUUGGUGCCCUGUACAGAUGUGUUUGAUGCCCUGUACAGAUUUGUUUGAUGCCCUGUACAGAUGUGUUUGAUGCCCUGUACAGAUAUGUUUGAUGCCCUGUUAGGUGUUGCUUGAUGACCUGUACAUGUGUUGUGUGAUGCCCUGUUAGGUAUUGUUUGAUGCCUUGUAUAUGUGUUGUGUGAUGCCUUGUACAGGUGUUGUAUGAUGCCUCGUACAGGUAUGAGGUCGUGUACAGGUGUUGUGUGAUGCCUUGUACAGGUAUGAUGUCGUGUACAGAUGUUGAGUGAUGCCCUGUACAGGUGUUGUUUGAUGCCCUGUACAGGUCUUGUGUGAUGCCUUGUACAGGUGUUGUAUGAUGCCUCGUACAGAUGUGUGAUGCCUUGUUGUAUGAUGCCUUGUACAGGUGUUGUGUGAUGCCUUGUACAGGUAUGAUGUCAUGUACAGGUGUUGUGUGAUGCCCUGUACAGGUAUGAUGUCAUGUACAUGUGUUGUAUGAUACCUUGUACAGGUAUGAUGUCAUGUAAGAUGUUGUGUGAUGCCUUUUUCAGGUACGAUGUCAUGUACAGGUGUUGUGUGAUGCCUCGUACAGGUAUGAUGUCGUGUUCAGGUGUUGUGUGAUGCCUUGUACAGGUAUGAUGUUGUGUACAGGUGUUGUGUGAUGCCCUGUACAGGUAUGGUGUCAUGUACAGGUGUUGUGUGAUGCCUUGUACAGGUAUGAUGUCAUGAACAGGUGUUGUGUGAUGCCUUGUACAGGUAUGAUGUUGUGUACAGAUGUUGAGUGAUGCCCUGUACAGGUGUUGUGUGAUGCCCUGUACAGGAGUUACAUUUGAUACACAGAUUCUGUAGUACUGUGGGGCAGUGUACAGUCUUCUCACAUACUCUAUAUUACCACAUUCCCAAGAAAUGUUAAGAUCUUUCAUUAUCAUUUCUAAGAUGUUAAGAUCUUCUACAUCAUUCUCAAGAUGUGUUUAUAUCCUACAUGACAUUCCUGAGAUAUGUUAAGAUCUUACACAAUAUUCUACGGAGAUGUCAAGAUAUUAUAUAACAUUCCAGAGAAAUGUCAAGAUCUCAUAUACCAGGCAAUUUUCCAGAGAGAUGUUAAGAUCUGAAUCAAAAAAAUUCAACAGGAGAUGUAUUUUCACAUUAACUGAUAAGUGACUAAUUCAGUUACUACUACUGUUACAAAUUAGGUAAUAUAUGAUAUUAAUAUGACAGAAUUCCUACUUAACAUUUGCUUUUAUGAGAAAAUGCUUUGGCUAGUUAUUUCACACUACCAUGAAACAUUCUAUUUGUUGCUUCAUAUUUCACUAAAACUAGAAAGAAAGAUGAAGACAAACCAAUGAAAGCCAAACACAUGUAAGUAGUGUAGUAGCUGUAUGAUAAACUGUAAUCUUAGCCAGGUCGCCAGUAGAGAAACCUUAGCCACGUCACUUUCACUUGAAGAAAAACUUUAAGCCAGGCCCUCUGUAGGCCUGUAUAGAUAGCUGUGUGUAAAUGUCCGUUAUAUGCCAUAUAUACAUGAAAUGUAGAUACGUUAACUAUUUAUUUUAGUGCUGAUUUGAAUGGGUGAAAUAUGUGAAUGUUUGUUGAUUGUGAUUAUUUGUUAGUGUCCUCAAGGUGAAAGAUCAGUUUCACUUUGACAUCAGAUGAAAUAUACUACAUUUCUGUACAUUCUAAGACAUUGGAAUUCUUCUAGCACAAAUUCACUAAAUUGUUGCCAUUAUACAGGGCUAUUAGUUGACCCUUCUAAAGUCAAAUCACUAUGUCCUUGAAAUUUGAAAAGUCAAAACCUGUUAAAUAGACACAUGCUUCAGAACCCACGAGUCAAAACUCAUUUCGGGAAAUCAAAAACAUACUCUCAAGGGUCUACCAAAAGCCUUAAAUCAUAUAUAAAAGUGGAAAACUUUUGUAUUUUAUCAGUAAAAUCUAACACUUCCUCAUACCCACCUCUACAAUAUCUGGUAUUGGUUAGUGGUUGGGUGAAUAUUGCAAGUUAACCCUUUCACCACUGUAGACCAUAAUGGACUCACCCUGAUAAAUGUAUGGUAGAGUCUACUUAAGUUACCUAGGGGUGAAAGAGUUGAUAAACAUGGUUUUUACUUAUCCCUUAAUGUUCUUUUAAAGGAAUAAGUGAGCAAGGAACAAGGAUGUAAGAUCUGUUAUUAAAACAGUGGAGCAUUUAACGUUUUGCAAGUUGGUUAUGUAAUGCCAAUGUUGUUUUGUAUUUAUUUUCACGAAUUACUGGGUAGUUGUAGGUGUUUAUGUAUAGGAUCUGAGUGAUCACAAAGUAUUGUGAACUGGAGUGCCUAUUACAUAUAUUUGUAAUACAAACUGAUUUAUAUGACGGGACCUGUGAUAUGUAUAUGAAAUUUGUUGUGCAAAAAUCUUUAAAGGUGUAUAUUGUCUCAUUGUUGGCAAUAUUUUAAGAACCGUUCCAGUAUUUUUGGUUAAAUGCACAUCUUGUUUACUUUUAUGUCUUAUAAUUACAAACAAGCGCUUCUAACAUUCUGUAUUUACAAUAUUUCCUUUUUAAAAUUUUAGAAUAAUCACCAGAGAUUUAUGUAAGAACAAGAUGAUUUGUACUUUGUUCAAAAUGAACGGAAUCUCUUAGAAGUGUAUUUUAUAACUCUUUACUUUCCUCUGUGAUGAUGAAUUCUACACAUCAAUGAUCUAAGUUACUUUGCAUUCCUCUACAAAUCUUUAUUGUGAAUUUCUACAUUGUAUAUUAAAUCAAAUUUUAUACACAAAUACAUAAAUAAAACCUAUAUAUUGUACUUCUUGUUUAUUG
rnacentral:misc_RNA from 1 species